rnacentral:rRNA from 1 species
CAGCAGCCGCGGUAAUACGAAGGGUGCAAGCGUUAAUCGGAAUUACUGGGCGUAAAGCGUGCGUAGGCGGUUUGUUAAGUCUGUUGUGAAAUCCCCGGGCUCAACCUGGGAAUGGCAAUGGAUACUGGCAAGCUAGAGUGUGUCAGAGGAUGGUGGAAUUCCCGGUGUAGCGGUGAAAUGCGUAGAGAUCGGGAGGAACAUCAGUGGCGAAGGCGGCCAUCUGGGACAACACUGACGCUCAUGCACGAAAGCGUGGGGAGCAAACAGGAUUAGAUACCCCGGUAGUCCCUGUCUCUUAUAC